UACAGAGACUGCAAGCGUUAUUCGGAUUCACUGGGCGUAAAGGGUGCGCAGGCGGCCAAGUGUGUGAGGCGUGAAAGCCCGGGGCUUAACCCCGGAAUUGCACCUCAAACUACUUGGCUAGAGCAUUGGAGAGGGUAGCAGAAUUCACGGUGUAGCAGUGAAAUGCGUAGAUAUCGUGAGGAAUACCAGAGGCGAAGGCGGCUGCCUGGACAAUUGCUGACGCUCAGGCACGAAAGCGUGGGGAGCAAAAGGG
rnacentral:rRNA from 1 species